rnacentral:rRNA from 1 species
GACGUAGGGCGCGAGCGUUGUCCGGAUUUAUUGGGCGUAAGGAGCUCGUAGGCGGCUUGUUGCGUCGACCGUGAAAACUUGUGGCUCAACCAUGAGCUGGCGGUCGAUACGGGCAGGCUGGAGUUCGGUAGGGGAGACUGGAAUUCCUGGUGUAGCGGUGAAAUGCGCAGAUAUCAGGAAGAACACCCGUGGCGAAAGCGGCUCUCUGGAACGGUACUGACGCUGAGACGCGAAAGCGUGGGGAGCGAACAGG